UCAAUUAUUGUCAACAGCAUUAUCUCCACCGUCUUCUUCUUCCAUUUUGUUGCUGCCAUAUCGGGAUCUGUGGUUGCAUGUUGUGGCGGAGUUUGCUGCAACAAACCACAAGUAUUCGUUCCCAAGUCGAUUCUUCUCGCAGAACAAGAAACCGUGCCCAUCAGGAUUCAGUCCUCAACAAAAGACAGAGGUCAGGACCAGAAACGGUUGCUCAAGCCCCCUUCGUACAGCGGUGACGCCAAAAAGAAAGCCGUUAGCUUCAGCUGUAGAGAUCUGCCCUAAACACACUGGCUACUGACCGACCGCUUGAGGUCGCUCUUUCAACAUCAGCAAAGCAACCAAAGAAUGAUGAUAUCGAACUUGAGACGAAUAAACCAUUUUCUUAAUAUAU